AUGAACGCUGGCGGCGUGCCUAAUACAUGCAAGUCGAGCGAACAGAUGAGGAGCUUGCUCCUCUGACGUUAGCGGCGGACGGGUGAGUAACACGUGGAUAACCUACCUAUAAGACUGGGAUAACUUCGGGAAACCGGAGCUAAUACCGGAUAAUAUAUUGAACCGCAUGGUUCAAUAGUGAAAGACGGUUUUGCUGUCACUUAUAGAUGGAUCCGCGCCGCAUUAGCUAGUUGGUAAGGUAACGGCUUACCAAGGCAACGAUGCGUAGCCGACCUGGGAGGUGACCAGGCACCAGUGGAAGUGAGAACGCGCCAAGACUCCGAGGGGGGGCACAGGUGGGAGUUCUUCAGAAGUGGGGAAAAGCCGAAAGGCGCAGCGCGGCGGAGGGGAUGAAGUUCUUCGGUUCUUAAACCUUUUUUAUGGGGAAAAAAAAAUUGUUAAAGAAAAUAUCCCGGUCUUGAGGGUACCUAAUAAAAAGGCCACGGCUAACUCCGUG
rnacentral:rRNA from 1 species